AUUGAACGCUGGCGGCAGGCCUAACACAUGCAAGUCGAGCGGAUGAAGGGAGCUUGCUCCUGGAUUCAGCGGCGGACGGGUGAGUAAUGCCUAGGAAUCUGCCUGGUAGUGGGGGAUAACGUCCGGAAACGGGCGCUAAUACCGCAUACGUCCUGAGGGAGAAAGUGGGGGAUCUUCGGACCUCACGCUAUCAGAUGAGCCUAGGUCGGAUUAGCUAGUUGGUGGGGUAAAGGCCUACCAAGGCGACGAUCCGUAACUGGUCUGAGAGGAUGAUCAGUCACACUGGAACUGAGACACGGUCCAGUCUCCUACGGGAGGCAGCAGUGGGGAAUAUUAGACAAUGGGCGAAAGCCUGAUCCAGCCAUGCCGCGUGUGUGAAGAAGGUCUUCGGAUUGUAAAGCACUUUAAGUUGGGAGGAAGGGCAGUAAGUUAAUACCUUGCUGUUUUGACGUUACCAACAGAAUAAGCACCGGCUAACUUCGUG
rnacentral:rRNA from 1 species